UUAGCUGAUUCUAAGUUCUAUGUGAAUAUAUUAUUGUGUAAUUGCAAAAAUAAAUAAAUAAAUAAAUAAUGAAGUUUUAAGUUGUACUAUAAAAACAUAGCGUCCAGUACAAAUUAUACGAUAAACUACCUGUCCAGCCACACCUAGGGUAUCCUGUUCAGUUCAGAGGACUACAUUCGAAGAGACAUGGGUAAACAUGCAUUUCUCCACAGGCAAACGCAGUGAAGAUCCAGGGAACUUGAAAAUGUCCCCGGGGAAGGAAUGAUUGCUGUGUUCAAGGAUGUGGUCAUGAGCAUUGUCUUCAUUAUAUAAAGGGCUUAUCCUACAGGUCUAGGAUUGGGAUUGAUAAUGGGGCACCCGAGAGCAGAUCAAGAACCCUCUGUGGAAAUUAGAAAGUGGAAGAAUUUGGUUCAACCGAAGGAAGAACUUUCUGGCAAAAUAAUUAAAGUAUUGGAAUGUGGUACUUUUUAAUAUGAGCUUCAUGAAUCCUGAGAUCUUCAAAGAGAGGGGUAGAAGUCAGUGAAGAAAUUCAUUUAAUUACCUAGGAGACUCUUUCAACUAUAAUGUUCUAAAAUUGACUAAACAGGUAACAUAAUGAAUCCUUUAAGCCGUAAGUGGUUUCUAUUAAAAACCAUGGGCUUUCUCUCUUAACCUCUGCUCAAUUCAUCUUAUUAUUUUAGUAAUUUUCUCCCCACCCACUAGAGCGUGUGAGUUUAUCUUUCCUUUUAUUGAGUUUAGUGAAAGCAUGAGCGAUAAUCUCAAUGAUAGGUAAUUAAACGAGAGGAGAAUCAUGACUUUUAAUGAAAAGGGUAACAUGUUGACCCAAGGGAUGCUGUGGACUCUCUCUGUUACUUACCAGGACUUCCCAGCCUCCAACCUCUGCCUCUCUUUACAAGAGUCAUACAAGCUGCAAGCUGAUGGCCUGAGUGAAGUGGGAUGAUGGAAUGAACACCUGGUGAUGAAGCUUAUUUUGAUGAGGUGUUUACUCACCUCCUCUCAACCUUUCCUGGAAUAGCUACAUUUAAUAGUGCAAGAUCACAAAGUCUGAGAAGAAAAUCACACGAGAACUUCAGCCUGAAUCAUGUCACUCCAGGUAAUCUGGAUACUAAGAACCAAACAAAAUGGACUGAAUAAAAGCAGCCUGAAGUCCAUCGGGUUUAUUUUGCCUCUGCCUGCUCUCAGAGAGACGUGAAUUUGUAGUGAUCGACUGCAGUUUCAUAUUAACGGAACAGAUUGGAGACAGAAACCAUCCCCAGGCCUUAAUCCCAGGGAAAUCAGAAAAACAACUUCUUCUAAAGCUAUUUACAGGGUAGCAGAUGUGAAGGUAUGUCUUGGAUUGGACACAACGUAACAAACAACUUUUUGAAAUAAGGUAUUUCAUUAAACAACUCAACAUGAGCAUGGGAAGUUCUACGAACUCUUUCUAAAGUGAGAUACUGAGAAUAAUGAGCAUGUUCACCAUUGCCUCAUUCAUUCAUUUCUUCUUUUCCCUUAUUGCAUAGGAUUCCUAUAGUAUCAACUGCACUGGAGGAGUUCUCAGGCUGCUUAGAGGAGAGCCAUGCACAGUGCCCUGCAGUGGGCAUGCUGGUAGCUGUAGUCACAGGGAGACUCCUCGCCAGCUGCAGUCACUACUUUUCCAUAAGAGCGCACACUGUCCACUCCUUGGGAAAGACCUGCUGAAAUACUCCUAACCAUGUACUGUUUCAGAAAUGGGAGUCAUUUUGCAAAUUAUUUGAAUCUUAACUUUCUUUAUUUUGCUUAUCCGAUUAUUCCUUGGUUUCUUUCCUUCUGUCUGUAAUAUUCCUUCCUUUGGAAUAUAUAAUUGCUAUUUUAGCUCUUUUGUUUCCACUCCAUAUGUCAUCGUUUCUCAUCUUUUAUGAGAAAAUAGUUAGCUUCUUUGAAAAAGCUCCUCUAUUUUGUCCUAAAAUAAUAAUGUUAUAAAACAUGAAAGACCUGUUACUAUCACUACUAGAGCUUUGAUUGGUUUUGUAAAAGAGAUAGAAAUGAGACCACUGGGAGGAUCGAAAGAACCUUAACAAGUGAGGAGGUACUUGAGCUUUGAAAAAGGAGGUGGCAUCCCAAAAGUCAGAGAUGGACCCCGAAUGGCUUUGCAAGGCAACCUCUUAGCAAUAAUGAAACAACAAAUGAAGAA